UACAGAGGUCCCAAGCGUUGUUCGGAUUCACUGGGCGUAAAGGGUGCGCAGGUGGGUUGGCAAGUUCGAUGUGGAAGCCCCGGGCUUAACCCGGGAAUGGCAUUGGAAACUGCUGAUCUGGAGGAUCGGAGGGGGGACUGGAAUUCUUGGUGUAGCAGUGAAAUGCGUAGAUAUCAAGAGGAACACCAGUGGCGAAGGCGAGUCCCUGGACGAUACCUGACACUGAGGCACGAAAGCCAAGGGAGCAAACAGG
rnacentral:rRNA from 1 species